UGCAAGUCGAACGCUUUGUCUUUAAUUGAUCUGACGAGCUUGCUCUGAUUUGAUUUUAUCUGACAAAGAGUGGCGAACGGGUGAGUAACACGUGGGUAACCUACCUCUUAGCAGGGGAUAACAUUUGGAAACAAGUGCUAAUACCGUAUAAUACUAACAACCGCAUGGUUGUUAAUUGAAAGAUGGUUCUGCUAUCACUAAGAGAUGGACCCGCGGUGCAUUAGCUAGUUGGUAAGGUAAUGGCUUACCAAGGCGAUGAUGCGUAGCCGAGUUGAGAGACUGAUCGGCCACAAUGGGACUGAGACACGGCCCAUACUCCUACGGGAGGCAGCAGUAGGGAAUCUUCCACAAUGGGCGCAAGCCUGAUGGAGCAACGCCGCGUGUGUGAUGAAGGGUUUCGGCUCGUAAAACACUGUUAUAAGAGAAGAACGACAUUGAGAGUAACUGUUCAGUGUGUGACGGUAUCUUAUCAGAAAGGAACGGCUAAAUACGUGCCAGCAGCCGCGGUAAUACGUAUGUUCCAAGCGUUAUCCGGAUUUAUUGGGCGUAAAGCGAGCGCAGACGGUUAUUUAAGUCUGAAGUGAAAGCCCUCAGCUCAACUGAGGAAGGGCUUUGGAAACUGGAUAACUUGAGUGCAGUAGAGGAAAGUGGAACUCCAUGUGUAGCGGUGAAAUGCGUAGAUAUAUGGAAGAACACCGGUGGCGAAAGCGGCUUUCUGGACUGUAACUGACGUUGAGGCUCGAAAGUGUGGGUAGCAAACAGGAUUAGAUACCCUGGUAGUCCACACCGUAAACGAUGAGUGCUAGAUGUUCGAGGGUUUCCGCCCUUGAGUGUCGCAGCUAACGCAUUAAGCACUCCGCCUGGGGAGUACGACCGCAAGGUUGAAACUCAAAGGAAUUGACGGGGACCCGCACAAGCGGUGGAGCAUGUGGUUUAAUUCGAAGCAACGCGAAGAACCUUACCAGGUCUUGACAUCCCUUGCCAAUCCUAGAAA
rnacentral:rRNA from 1 species